rnacentral:rRNA from 1 species
AUGGACGACUUCGUGCUCCGGUCCGGCGUGCGCGUGGGGCUGAAGCGCGAGUUCGCCUUCGCCAUCGCCUCCCAGGCCGCCCUCGCCCCCUCCCUCGGCCGCACCCGCUCCUCCCGUUCAUCCGCCGCCGCCGCCGCCGUCCUCUCCCCGCCGACCACCAAGCCCAAUCCCAAGCCCUCCCGCUCCUCCAAGCGCUCCCGCCCCUCGGACUCGGCGCCCGCCAAGCGCGCCCGCUCGCGGCCCCCGGAUCCGGACCCCGCCGCCGCGGAUCCGCCGCGGGAUCCUCCUCCUCCCCCCGCCGGCGCCGGCGCCCACGCGGAUGUGCCGGCUGACGCCCCGUUCUCUGCCAUCGCAAACGGGCCCCAACUGCCUCCCGCCGCCGCCACGCCCACCGCCAACAGGCCCCAGCCGCCUCCCGCCGUCGCCGGGGAUGAGCCGGUGCUCGCCCUGUUCGCCGCCAACGCGCCCACCGCAAGCGCGCCCCAACCGCCUCCGCAGCAGCAGCAGGAGGCCUUCUUCAUCCCGCCGGAGACGCCGCCCCGGCGGGUCACCCGCUCCAUGCUCUCCCAGCCCGCCGCCUCCCCUGCCCCCACCGCCGCCACCGCUCCCCCACAGCCAACCAGACCCAAACCCAAACACCAACCCAAGCCCAUGCUCAAACCCAAGCAGGAGCCCGUGGACGAGCCCACCGACCACCUCCAGCCCUACCCCGGGGGACUCGCCGGAGGCGUAGCAAGCCCGGCGUCGCCCCGCCGCUUCACCAGGUCGCUCCUGCAACAGGUCAAACAGCAAGUGGACGACGGCGACAACGACGAGUCGGGCACCACCACCGCCAGCAGCUCCCCGUCGCCCUCCCCCAAGAGCACCAAGCGCGGCGCCAGCCUCAAGGCCAAGUCCGAGGGGCCAGAUGGAAUCCCCAAGAACCUCAGGGAGCUCUUCGCCACCGGCUUGCUCGAGGGCCAGCCCGUCAACUACUUCAUGAACAAGGGGAAGCGACCAGUACUUCGUGGAGUCAUCAAAGACACGGGCAUAUUGUGCUCUUGCACUUCAUGUAAAGGCCGAAAUGUCGUUUCGCCUUUUUAUUUCGAGGUGCAUGCCGGGAGCCAUAAAAAGCGCCCCUCCGAUUACAUUUUCCUGGAAAGUGGAAAUACUCUGCAUGAUGUAUUGAGGGCGUGCACAGAUGCGACUGUAGACACACUGGAAUCUGCAAUACUGGGAGCAAUAGGCCCGGUGCCUAAGAAGAGGACAGUGACAUGCCAGGACUGCAAAAGUUCGUUUAAAACUUUCCGCGCUGGAAAAUUUGCUUCCUUCUGUGAUACAUGUCUGGAGUCUAAGGAAGCUCAGAGCACCGCAAGGGACCAUGGCUUGCACAAGUUGGUUUUCAUGAGUGGUGUUUUGGCGGAGGGCACAGACGUCGGCUAUUAUGUCCAGGGAAAGAGGUUGCUGGAUGGCCACAUAAAGGAACAUGGAAUCUAUUGUUAUUGCUGCAAUACAGUGGUUAGCCCUUCACAGUUUGAAGGCCAUGCUGGCCGAGCUGCUCGGCGCAAACCUUACCACAACAUAUACAUUUCCAAUGGCGUUUCACUACAUGAGCUGUCGGUUUCUCUUUCAAAAGGCCGAAAACCUUCAGAAAAGCAGAACGAUGACUUAUGCAGCAUCUGUUCAGAUGGCGGGGAGCUGCUUCUUUGUGACUCCUGCCCGAGAGCUUUUCACAGAGAAUGUGUUGGCUUGUCUUCUGUACCGAAGGGAGCUUGGUGUUGCCGGUAUUGUGAAAACAGGCAACAGAGAGAAAGUUAUUUGGCAUACAACAACAAUGCAAUAGCCGCUGGGAGGGUUGAUGGAGUUGAUUCCAUCGGACAAAUAUUUACGCGGUCGAUCCGUAUUGCCACAGCACCUCAGGGUGCAUUUGGUGGAUGCGCAUUGUGCAAGCAACAUGAUUUUGGCAAAAAGAAAUUUAGUGAACGAACUGUGCUGCUCUGUGACCAAUGUGGGAGGGAAUAUCACGUUGGAUGCCUGAAAGAACACAACAUGGCUGAUUUGACGGCAUUGCCCGAGGGAGCAUGGUUUUGUUCCACCGUAUGUGUGGAGAUCUGCGAGGCACUGAAGGACCUGGUCAGUCGUGGAGCGGAACCUGUUCCUGCCGUGGAUGUUGAUCUCAUAAAGAAGAAGCGCGCGGAGAAAGGUUUGAAUGACGAUGGCGACCUUGAUGUUAGAUGGAGGGUUUUGAGGGACAAAAGUUCAGAAGAUAGUAAAGUGGUGCUGUCCAAGGCGGUUGGUAUUUUCCAUGAAUCAUUUGAUCCUAUCAUCCAAGCUGGGACGGGGCGAGACCUGAUUCCAGCCAUGGUCUAUGGGAGGAGCGUAAGGGAUCAAGAUUACACAGGGAUGUACUGUGCGGUGUUAACUGUCGGCAAGACGGUGGUUUCUGCUGGACUCUUCCGUGUCAUGGGCAACGUAGCCGCGGAGCUCCCCUUGGUCGCGACGAGCAGGGAUAACCAAGGCUUGGGGUACUUCCAGGCGCUGUUUGCGUGCAUCGAGCGGCUGCUGUCGUCCCUCAAGGUGAAGCACUUUGUGCUGCCGGCGGCAGAGGAGGCGGUGUCGAUCUGGACGCAGCGGUUCGGGUUCGGCACGAUAACCCAGGACAAGCUGCUGGAGCACCUCAAGGGCGGGCGACCGACGGUGUUCCACGGCACGUCGACCCUGCACAAGCCUGUCCCGGUGGCUGAGGCGGAGGCGCGGGUGCCUGAGGAGGAGGAGGAGGAGGAGGAAGCGCCGGUGCCCGAGGAGAAGUCGGAAGAAGAGCCGGUGCCGGCGGCCUUGGAGUGA